rnacentral:rRNA from 1 species
UACAGAGGUGGCAAGCGUUGUUCGGAAUUACUGGGCGUAAAGGGCGCGUAGGCGGUUCGGUAAGUCCUGUGUGAAAUCCCCCGGCUCAACUGCGGAACUGCACAGGAAACUAGCGGGCUUGAGUCCGGGAGAGGGAAGCGGAAUUCCGGGUGUAGCGGUGAAAUGCGUAGAUAUCCGGAGGAACACCGGUGGCGAAGGCGGCUUCCUGGACCGACACUGACGCUGAGGCGCGAAAGCUAGGGGAGCAAACAGG